UUGAUUUCGUCCGUUUUAAAAGACAUAGUAUUUACACACAUGCUGGCGCUGUUAUGGCAGACCUAAGCUUCGCUAAUCGGUAUAUUGGGAAGAGACUAGCUAUGUCCUUCGCGUACAUGCAGGUUUUUUUACCAAAGCCAUGUACAGUCGCGAAUGGUGACCAUUUGAAAAUUGCAAAAAACGGAUCUCUUGACUCUUUUGAUAAAAUUGAUAAUAUCUGAGCAUGACUUGGCAAUCAAUAAAAAAUUCCCUCACUACCUCUGGCGGAAGCUGAAGAGUCUGGCGUUGAGUUGAGAUGUCGAUUUCGAAGGAAAUGUAGACCUACAGGAGUGAUUUCACUAUGAUAACAGUGUCAAUCAUUUACCCCCAGCACCAUACCUUCGGAAUUAUACGACAUAUUGAUUUGAGACACAAUGAAGAUUCAAAAAGUCAGAAUUUUUACCAUCAACAAAAUAUUAUUGCUGCAGAAUUACAGCCAUUACAUGAGGUGUGAGAUGAAUCUUCCCUACUUCUCAGUAGUUCUUCAGCCACAGCAUCAUGUUACUUACCAGAAAUACCACCCAAUGUUUGAAAAUUUAAAUAAUAUAAUACCUUACAAAUUAAAAAACAGGCAGACAAUGGAUAUAAUAUAUGCCAAAGAAUCCAAAAAAAGCGAUUUAAAUUUCCUGUUCGUUUUGGUACUUCAGGCAUGGUAUACGACUUCUUUGCAUACGAUGAAGCAAACACAUUUCAAACUGUACAAUUUAGUGAAUGGGAAGAGGACUUUCUUGGUGUAUUAGAUAAGUUCUCAGGCUAUGUAAUACUAUUUCUAUUCCAAUUCUUAGCAUAUUCUUAGGCUGUGAUUUUUAGUACUGUCGUUUUUUAAAAUCCAUUAUUUUUAACGAUAUCGUUAAAGUUUUAACCAACAUUUUAAGACAGACGUUUGAAAAGCUUAUUCUAGAUCCUCCAUAAUUAUAAUUUGAUAAUAAUUUUGAAUUACAGAGUUGAAAAUGUGCAUUGUAGUCAUGUACCACGGUUGCAGGAAUAAUGUACAAUGUCCGUUAUAUGUGACGGUUCGAACAUGUACAUAUAAUUGGCAAUGUCCGUUUUAUGUGACAUAGUGAAAACAAUAGAAAAAAUUAAAAUUUUUAA